ensembl:ncRNA Y71H2B.12 ncRNA
AAAAUAAGAUUAAAUAUUCAAUUUUACAGGUCAACACCAACAUUUUAAACUUUUAAAUAAUUUUUCCGCUAUUUUUCAGACAAAUUCUUGCAUUUUUGUAGUGAUCGUUGU